rnacentral:rRNA from 1 species
UACGUAGGGGGCAAGCGUUGUCCGGAUUUAUUGGGCGUAAAGAGCGUGUAGGCGGCCAGGUAGGUCUGCUGUGAAAACUCGAGGCUUAACCUCGAGAUGUCGGCGGAAACCAUCUGGCUAGAGUCCGGAAGAGGAGAAUGGAAUUCCCGGUGUAGCGGUGAAAUGCGCAGAUAUCUGGAGGAAUACCGGUGGCGAAGGCGGCAUCCUGGACCGACAUUGACGCUGAUGAGCGAAAGCUAGGGGAGCAAACGGG